rnacentral:rRNA from 1 species
AACGAACGCUGGCGGCAGGCUUAACACAUGCAAGUCGAACGGGUGCGAGCAAUCGCAUCAGUGGCAGACGGGUGAGUAACACGCGGGAACCUUCCUAGAGGUACGGAACAACGCAGGGAAACUUGUGCUAAUACCGUAUACGCUCGAGAGAGGAAAGAUUUAUCGCCUUUAGACGGGCCCGCGUCGGAUUAGCUAGUUGGUGAGGUAACGGCUCACCAAGGCGACGAUCCGUAGCUGAUCUGAGAGGAUGAUCAGCCACACUGGAACUGAGACACGGUCCAGACUCCUACGGGAGGCAGCAGUGGGGAAUCUUGGACAAUGGGCGCAAGCCUGAUCCAGCCAUGCCGCGUGAGUGAAGAAGGCCUUCGGGUUGUAAAGCUCUUUUGUCAGGGACGAUAAUGACGGUACCUGAAGAAUAAGCCCCGGCAAACUUCGUGCCAGCCGCCGCCGUAA